rnacentral:rRNA from 1 species
CCAAGCUAGUAAGGGCGUGUGGUGGAUGCCUUGGCACUAGGAGGCGAUGAAGGACGUGGCAAGCUGCGAAAAGCCUCGGAGAGUCGCAAGCAGACUUUGAUCCGGGGAUGUCCGAAUGGGGAAACCUGGCAGGGGUAAUGCUCUGUCGUCCCUUACCUGAACACAUAGGGUUUGGGUCGCCAACGGGGAGAAGUGAAACAUCUCAGUACCCCCAGGAAUAGAAAGUAAUAACGACUCCGUUAGUAGCGGCGAGCGAACGCGGAAUAGCCUAAACCAAUGUCAUGUAAGCUCGUGAGCGUUGCGGCAUUGGCGUCGUGGGAGUCACCGUUGCGGGUCACGGACCGCAGGUGGAGUUACCAAGCAUGGAUCUAGUAGAACAAGCUGGAAAGCUUGACCAGAGAGGGUGAAAGUCCCGUACACGAAAGGUUGCAUGCCUCCACUGGUGGCCACCCGAGUACCGCGGAACACGAGAAAUUCUGUGGGAAUUUGCGAGGACCAUCUCGUAAGGCUAAGUACUCCCUAGUGACCGAUAGCGGACCAGUACCGUGAGGGAAAGGUGAAAAGAACCCCGGUAAGGGGAGUGAAAUAGAACCUGAAACCGCAUGUUUACAAUCGGUGGGAGGACGUUGGCUUCGCGCCUGUCCGACCGCGUACCUUUUGCAUAAUGGGCUGGCUAGUUGUGGUAUGCAGCGAGGUUAAGCUUUUAGGCGAGCCGUAGGGAAACCGAGUCUGAAUAGGGCGUUUAGUUGCAUGCUGCAGACGUGAAGCCGGGUGAUCUAUCCUUGACCAGGGUGAAGCGUGGGUAAAACCACGUGGAGGCCCGAACCAGUGUCGGUUGAAAACGGCUUGGAUGAGUUGGGGAUAGGGGUGAAAGGCCAAUCAAACCCGGGAAUAGCUCGUUCUCCCCGAAAUAGCUUUAGGGCUAGCCUUUGGCGAUGGAUUGCGGAGGUAGAGCACUGGAAGGGCUAGGGGGCCUAUAAGCUUACCGAACCCUACCAAACUCCGAAUGCCGCAUAUCUUAGCCAGGGAGUCAGACUGCGAGGGAUAAGCUCCGUAGUCGAAAGGGAAACAGCCCAGACCGCCAGCUAAGGCCCCUAAGUGCAGGCUAAGUGGAAAAGGAUGUCGAGAUGCACAGACAGCCGGGAGGUUGGCUUAGAAGCAGCCAUCCUUUAAAGAAAGCGUAAUAGCUCACCGGUCGAGUGACUCGGUGCCGAAAAUGUACCGGGGCUAAGCCUGCCGCCGAAGCUGCGGAUUUAUAGGAACUCCGGUUCCUAUGAGUGGUAGGGGAGCGUUCUGUGUUGCUUGAAGUCAGACCGUAAGGACUGGUGGACGGCACAGAAGUGAGACUGCCAGCACGAGUAGCGAUAAAGAGGGUGAGAACCCCUCUCGCCGGAAGUCUAAGGUUUCCUGAGGAAGGUCAGUCCUCUCAGGGUUAGGCGGCCUCUUAGUCGAGGACGAAGGUCGUAGACGAAGGGAAGCAGGUGAAUAUUCCUGCCCCGCCUGAAUAACGUUUGACCGAAGGGGUGACGCAGGAGGGUAGCUCAGCCUGCGAUUGGAAGUGCAGGUUGCAAGCAAGUAGCCGGGGGGACUAGGUAAAUCCGGGCCCCCAUUUCAAACGGUGAGAUGUGAUGCCGAGGUCUUCGGACCGCAAAGUGAGUGAUCCCAUGCUGCCAAGAAAAACCUCGUAGGGAGUAAUUCAGGCGACCGUACCGCAAACCGACACAGGUAGACAGGGAGAGAAUCCCAAGGCGAACGAGUUAACACUGGUUAAGGAACUCGGCAAAUUGGCUCCGUAACUUCGGGAGAAGGAGCGCCCCGUUAGCGUGAAGGACCUUGCGUCCGGAGCGUGAGGGGGUCACAGAAACCAGGCCCAGGCGACUGUUUACUAAAAACACAGGUCUCUGCAAAGUCGAAGUCGACGUAUAGGGACUGACGCCUGCCCGGUGCCGGAAGGUUAAGAGGACGGGUUAGCCCUCGGGCGAAGCUCAGAAUUGAAGCCCCGGUAAACGGCGGCCGUAACUAUAACGGUCCUAAGGUAGCGAAAUUCCUUGUCGGGUAAGUUCCGACCCGCACGAAUGGCGUAACGAUCUGGGCGCUGUCUCGACCAGUGGCUCGGCGAAACUGAAGUGCCGGUGAAGAUGCCGGCUACCCGCAGCUGGACAGAAAGACCCCGGCACCUUUACUACAACUUAGUACUGGGUUUUGGUAUGUCGCGUGCAGAAUAGGUGGGAGGCUUUGAAACCAGACCGCUAGGUUUGGUGGAGCCAACAGUGAGAUACCACCCUCGUUAUGCCGAAACUCUAACCCAGGUCCGUUAUCCGGAUCGGGAACAGUGCUUGGUGGGUAGUUUAACUGGGGCGGUUGCCUCCCAAAGGGUAACGGAGGCGCCCAAAGGUUCCCUCAGGCUGUUUGGAAAUCAGCCGCAGAGUGUAAAGGCAUAAGGGAGCUUGACUGCGAGACUGACAAGUCGAGCAGGUGGGAAACCAGGGCUUAGUGAUCCGGCGGUUCCGUAUGGAAGGGCCGUCGCUCAUCGAAUAAAAGGUACGCCGGGGAUAACAGGCUUAUCUCCCCCAAGAGUUCA